GCUCCUUUAGUUUAACGGGAGAACAGUUGGACGAAAAUCCGACGUAUGUGGGUUCGAGUCCUGCAGGGAGCGCCA
rnacentral:tRNA from 1 species